rnacentral:sRNA from 1 species
GAAAAAGGCAUUCAUUCUCGUAGUAGGACGGCGCGUGGGCAAGGUGGUGUAACCACCGGGCGAAAUCCCCCCAUGCGCAACACACAGGCUCCCUCGGGGGCCUUUUUUAUUAUCCGAAA